rnacentral:rRNA from 1 species
AGAGUUUGAUCCUGGCUCAGGACUAACGCUGGCGGUGCGCCUAACACAUGCAAGUCGUACGAGCCCUUCGGGGCGAGUGGCAGACGGGUGAGUAACGCGUAGGUAAUGUACCUCUUCGCUGGGGAUACCUAUCCGAAAGGAUAGCUAAUACCGAAUGAACUUAUCGAACGGCAUCGUUUGAUUCGUAAACCUCCGGGGCGAAGAGAUCAGCUUGCGUACUAUCAGCUAGUAGGUGGGGUAACGGCCUACCUAGGCUACGACGGUUAGCCGGUCUGAGAGGAUGAUCGGCCACAUUGGAACUGAAACACGGUCCAGACUCCUACGGGAGGCAGCAGUGAGGAAUCUUGCGCAAUGGGCGAAAGCCUGACGCAGCGACACCGCGUGAGGGAUGAAGGUCUUCGGAUUGUAAACCUUUGUCAGUGGGGACGAGAACGGACGGUACCUACUGAGGAAGCAUCGGCUUACUACGUGCCAGCAGCCGCGGUAAUACGUAGGAUGCAAGCGUUGUCCGGAAUUACUGGGCGUAAAGAGCUCGUAGGCGGGAAGGUACGUUUGGAAGUAAAUCUCACGGCUCAACUGUGAGCUCAUUCCAAAUACGGCUUUUCUUGAGGGCAGCAGGGGAGAAUGGAAUUCCCAGUGUAGCGGUGAAAUGCGUAGAUAUUGGGAAGAAUACCGGUGGCGAAGGCGAUUCUCUGGGCUGUGACUGACGCUGAGGAGCGAAAGCGUGGGUAGCGAACGGGAUUAGAUACCCCGGUAGUCCACGCUGUAAACGAUGGAUGCUAGACGUGUGGGGUAUCGACCCCCUGCGUGUCGCAGCUAACGCAUUAAGCAUCCCGCCUGAGGAGUACGGCCGCAAGGUUAAAACUCAAAGGAAUUGACGGGGGCCCGCACAAGUGGUGGAGCAUGUGGUUUAAUUCGACGCUACGCGAAGAACCUUACCUGGGUUUGACAUUCACAGGAAGAGUGCAGAGAUGUAUUCGCCUUCGGGCCUGUGAACAGGUG